UACGAAGGGGGCUAGCGUUGCUCGGAAUCACUGGGCGUAAAGGGUGCGUAGGCGGGGCUUUAAGUCAGGGGUGAAAUCCUGGAGCUCAACUCCAGAACUGCCUUUGAUACUGGGAGGCUCGAGUCCGGGAGAGGUGAGUGGAACUGCGAGUGUAGAGGUGAAAUUCGUAGAUAUUCGCAAGAACACCAGUGGCGAAGGCGGCUCACUGGCCCGGUACUGACGCUGAGGUGCGAAAGCGUGGGGAGCAAACAGG
rnacentral:rRNA from 1 species